GACAGAGGAUGCAAGCGUUAUCCGGAAUGAUUGGGCGUAAAGCGUCUGUAGGUGGCUUUUUAAGUCCGCCGUCAAAUCCCAGGGCUCAACCCUGGACAGGCGGUGGAAACUACCAAGCUGGAGUACGGUAGGGGCAGAGGGAAUUCCCGGUGUAGCGGUGAAAUGCGUAGAGAUCGGGAAGAACACCGGUGGCGAAAGCGCUCUACUGGACCGUAACUGACACUCAGGGACGAAAGCUAGGGGAGCGAAUGGG
rnacentral:rRNA from 1 species